CUGUUUGAUCAACAUUUUGUGUCUUGAGUCGUGAGGAAAAAGUACCGCCGUUGUGAUUUCAAAGGCAGCGGGGCGCAGUAGAGCAAGUCAGAGGUAGUUGUGACAACAGUACGUGGAAAGAGCGGGUGUUCGUUAGCCAGUUUAGCAACCAGUGUGCAGUCCAAAUGCUUUGAUAUCCAAUAGCUUUUGUGUACAUUAUAAUAAUCUUUUUGCCUGUCUCGUAGGAUUAAUGCUGAUGAAAACGACCUUCCCUUGGAGUUUUAUGUUCCUCGCUAUCCUUCAUUGAUACUUUUCCCUGCCUACAGGAAGGAUUUCGCAGUUCGUUUUCCAGAUUCCUUGGAGAGAACUGGUGCCAAUAUGGUUCAGUUUAUCUUAGGUAAUGGAGUUAUGGCAAAGACUGAAGCGUUUAAAGAUUUUCGCGUGACACAAAUUGUGACAAACCAGGUUUACAGGCUA